CCGUAUCUUCUUAAAUACACAGAGCCCCGCUGUAAAGCACCAGUGGGGACAAGGCUUCUAGAUGGCUCCUGAGACCCUCUGCAUGGCGAAUGAAAUCAAAGCGAGCACACUGAAAUCUCCUGAAACACCUGCCGAGGAGGUAAUGAUAAAUCUGAUGUCGCACGCGGGAGCGGGAGGCCGGGCCGGGCGCCGCGGGGAAAGCGGGAGGAGGCGCGGGGAGCGAGCCGUGCGGGCCCGCCCCAGCUCCGCUCCGCGUGUGCGAGGGCGGGCGUAGGAGGGAGGCCGGCCCCGGCACCGCCCGCGCCGCGGGGCGAGGUGAGGUGAGCGCCCGCUCCUGCCAUGGCGGCGCUGCGGGACGUCUUUCGGCGGCCUUUCGGCGGCCCGCUCGCGGUGGGUUUCAGUUCCCCGGGCAGCGAGCCGACGGCAGCGGUGGUGUCUGUCAGCGCCUGUCCUGCGCCCCCGGCCUGCCGAAGAUCCCUUUGGAAGCGAAAAAACUGCUUUGAAGCAUCUAGGGGAAGCAGGCGGGAAUUUACUAUAAAUUCCUCACAGGUACAGCAGCUCUACAGAAGCAGCUUAAUUUCCUCCCGGCCGGCUGCAGGCAGUCAGCACAGCCACUCACCUCCGCGAGGCGCUGCCCCCCGAGCUCUGCUGCUGGCCGCGCUCGGUGCGGGACACGCGGUGCAGAAAGUGCCAUUUAGGAGUCUGCGCCAUACGGAUCGCGGGGCCAUUAUAAAGCCGGGCUGUGUCUGUGCUGUGUGUUCUCUGAGCUUGUUGGAGUGUCUGUGUUCACCUUUCUGUUUCGAGCGGUAGUGCGAAAAUCAUCGUUAACUUCAACACGUAUAAUUUGUGUUUCCUUUUCAGACCCUUUGUGGCGUAUCAUAAUGCUGGCCAAUCUCGUAUUUUUUCUUUGCCUGGCUAUUAAUGCUGCUUCUUAGCUUCUUCUCAUUCUCUAGUCAUACACGAUCCUGCCCCUCUGUGCUGUGGGGCCUCACCUGGAGUACUGCUUACAGAUGUGGAGUCCUCAGUACAGGAGAGACACGGACCUGUUGGAGGGUGUCCAGAGGAGGGCCACAAAAAUAAUCCCAGGGAUGGAACACCUCUCCUGUGAGGACAGGCUGGGAGAGCUGGGGCUGUUCAGCCUGGAGAAGGCACUGGGGAAACCUGAGAGUGGCCUUUCAGUAUCUAAAGGGGGGCUGUAAGAAGGAAGGGGACAGACUUUUUAGUAGGGUCUGUUGUGAAUUGGAAUUUCACACUUGGAAUUUCAUCACCCUAAUAGAAAUCAGGAGAGGGAAAUUGGUUUUGUGUGCCUCUGCAGAUGGUCAGCAGUGGACAGGACCCAGUGACAGACAUGGAAGAGUUUGGUGCUUCUGACAACUGCGGAGCGUCGCUGAGGAUCCCAGAGCUGUGACUGCAGUUUUCCAAUUCCCAGGCUGUCUUGGCAGUAGAGGAAAUGUGAAGAAGAGCUAUGUGUCAUUUGAAUAGUGCUGUCAUCUUACCAAUUACUACUAUAGCUGCUGUACACAGGUGUUGCAAGGUCAUACCUUCACCCAUCCGAGGCAAAGACAUGAUGUUAUCUGCCUGAAAAUAUCUGUCUGGGCAAUCCUUCAACAAGACUUCUCCCACACAUCAAUCCAACUUUCUUUUUUCUCCUGUAACUUCUUGCUUCUUUCAUGUUGCACAAGAGGUUCCCUAAAACAUUAAUUUUUCCUCCUCCAAAUUCCUACAGUAAGUACCACUUUGUCUACAAAAUCCUUCUCAGUAAUUAAGAAGCUCAUAUGUUACAACCUCUGCUUGGUAUGAUAAUUACCCUACUGCUAGCUCUCCCUGUUGACUGUGUUCAUCUUCCAUCCAUUGCCAUUAGCUUGAAUUGAAUAGAAUUUGGAGUGGUAUGAAGUGCCUCACACAGAGAAGAACCAGCAUUUUGAAGGGCCUGCAGGUGCUGCUACCUGAAGGUAAAUAGCUAAUAACAUCAUUUCUGUGCAUUUCUCAAGUUUUCUAAUAUAUUCAGCAAGUUUCAUUACUCCUUUCUUAAAACCGGUAAGCAAUCUCCAACUUAUUAAAGAACUAAUUGCCUGUGUUGGAGACUCUACAGGCAAAAUCCUUGAGAUUGACCUUCCUACAGCUUGGGGGCAGGAGGGAGGGAAUCUCCAGUCCUGUUUCUGAGAUAAAACAGAGCCAUUAUGACCAGUAGAUAACGUCAUGCCUUCAAAAAGGUAUAUUUGGUCAUGUUCUGCUAUGAUGUUUCUGAGUGCAGGCAGGCAAAGAGCAGUAUGUAUCCAUUACCACUUUCUCUUUCCCUUAAACAUGUGCUCCUUUUUACGUAGGAAAGUGUAAGAAAAUAUGACUCUAACUUGAUUUUUUUUUUUCUUCAGGUUAGUUUAACAACUGAAAAUACUCUAUCGUGAAUGGCCUCAAUAUAUCAUUCAGGUGGUAUUCUUAAAAUUAUAUUUUAAUAUCAAUUAAAAUGUGAAUAUCAGUUAUUUAAUGCAACCUAAAGGAAGUUUGUUUUGUUGAAAAAAAAAAAUGAUGAUCAGCCAUAGUUCUGGCCUGUAAUAAGUUCAAGUGUAUGAUGGCUUCCUGUGCUCAGGCUCACCAGGAAGGGGAAUCAGGACAGCGCACGUUGGCAGGUGGGAGUGUAAAUCCGGGUAGGAGGAGAACUCGUGUCAGGAAUGUGUCAAAUCAAUCUCUUCCAAGCGGGAUCCUCAAAAACCUAAAGGUUCAAAUUUGAAGUGUAUUCCACUCUGUGGAAAAAAAUAAUAAAUGAGAGCAUCAAUAUCUGCACUCUUCAGCUUUAAGCCUCCCAGGGGUACAGGCAAUCAGGCUGAUAAGUUGUAAUUUCACACCCUUUGCACCAGCUGCACUUAACUCAUCUGAUUUUUACCUAUGUCACCGGUAGCACCGCAGGGAAUUAGAAUGAAAGAACUAUUAAAAGCCUAAUGUAUUUUUUCGUAUGUAGGUUGUUUGCAUUUCUAAUGCCUAUUUUGAAGCCUUGUGUGAAGUGGAAAGUGGAGGUGAUAAUUCAUUAGCAAGCAAAAUCUAGAAGUAAGGUAUUAUGAAAAAAAAAAACCUUUUAUGGAGGGAAGAUGGAGAACUUAAUGCUCAAGGUAAACAGUUUCAAUUAGGAAGUUCUUUGAAGUAUGAUGAGAGCAGUCCAAAAAGAAUCAUACAGACUGCCAAAAUAAAGACCGAAAAACAUUGAAAUUUAUGGAGCUUUUAAGGGCCAUUAACUUAAAGGCCGUUGCCUUUCUUUUUUCUUUCCCCCAUUCUAUUUUAAGAAAUGGAAAGGUGUUUAUUUUUCCCUUGGUCAAUUAGUCUGCAAUAGGAGAAAGGUAGAGAGACAUAUUUUGUAGAUGCUAUGAGAAUUUUAGACAGAGAAAACUCUUCUUCUGACCGAGUUUCUCUCUUAAAAAAAUAAAGUAUAUUAAGAGCUGUAAACAGUCAGGAAUUGUGCUAUAUAUAUAUGUGUGUCUAGAAUGUUAGGUAAAACUUUAAUCACUGAAUUUGUGGGGUAACUGUGGAAUACAUUUAUACCUUUUGCUUCUCUGUUAGAAGUUUGGAAGUUAGAUGUCCUGUUGAUGGAAGCUGUUUAGAAGUUUGAUGCCUGAAGCUUGGCAGCACUGCACACAAAACAGGAUGUUGCUGCCCACAGGUCCAGUGUCUCUAUCUUUGAGUGGCAGCAUUUGAUUUUUGCAGGGACAGUAAAGAGCAAGUGUUGCAGGGACUUGGUGUCUGAGCUGGGGGGAUAAUUACAUAUUUCUGCCCCCACCCAUAAUUAUCUCAGGAGGCAUUUCACCUCCAGGGUUUGAAAGACCUUUCUGUGUACUGGCGCUAGCACAGUGUGGAUGGGAAGAGGAAAACAACCAAGGCAGCCUGCACACAGAGCCUGAAUUAUUACCUGCCAGUGGGGCCAGCAGCUCUCACUGCUCUCCCAAGGCUGCAGAGCAGCAGAGAUGCUGCAUGGUGCUGGGUGGGACCACCUCCUGCAGCACGGCUGCUGCCUCACAUGGAGGGGGUAGGGGGGGGCGAAGCAGGACACUGCAAAGAUGGAGGGAGAAAAUGAGCUGUGCUGCUGCUGUGUGUGUGCCUGCCAGCCCUGGCCGUGCCUGUUGUCACACUUGGUUUUCCAUAAAAUUUGAUUGUUUUUGAUCACCGUUAUUGGUGUGAAAUGUUGUACCCUAAUAAGCUACCAGCAAAAUGCCUGUUGUCCUUAGCCCAACUGGAUCUAGCCAUUUAAAAUGCUUUAGAAGUCACAGCAUAAAUAUCAAAUGUUGAUAGACGCAAAGAAAUAAACUCUGGCAAUACCUGUGGUAUGCCUUCAACCAUAGUGGUGAAUAACAUUAAAAUCUCACUGCCCAGCACUCGUACCAAAAAUCAGGAUGCCUGUGUUUGGCUCACUUGUAGGCUGUGGCAACAUCAUAGUGUUCCCUCUUCAUGUGCCUAAUUCUUCACAUAGUUUGAGGACAAUAUGAACCAGAAUACAUGCAGUCCUUCACCUGUCUAUCACUACCUUCUUUCCUGCUCUCGGGAGAUACUGUUGAUCCUUCUUUCUCUUACAGAUUUGUCCAAACUUGUUAGCACUGGCAAAAGUAAUCUCCAUUUCCUCCUGGCUACUUGACAAAAGGAGGACAACAAACUUCUCUCUGCUGACUAGGAAUACAGUAAACAUUCAUGAUUUCAAGUAUGGUGAUAAGAGCGUAUUGCACCACAGUGCCAUCUCAUAGCAGUUUGUUCAGCUGAGCAUUCACUGGGCCAGCACAUCACCACUGUCAGCAUGCAAAUAAGCUCUCCCAUGCAGCUGAGAAUGAAGGCCAGAAGCCUGAAAAUAACCCAGCAAAGCAUGCCUGUUGUAAGGAAUGAGAGGUACUUGCCAACUUUUAAUCACUGGGCUUAGUGACUGGCAUGACAACAUUUUUCUGAUGGGGAAAUUAUUUACAGGCAGUUGGAAGGUCAGGAGGCUGUCUGAAACACUCAAUGGCAAAAUUAGAGUUAGCCUUUCAGUCAACCAUGUUGCUCAGGUACCUGCUUGGUGUUCCAGUGUUAACGUGCAGUACAUUCGAAGUGCAGCCACCUUCACUGUAUGUUUCGGUGUACAAAAUUACCUUCUAAUUAAGAAAUAAGCACAGUGGUAGGGAGGAUUCCACUUUGAGUCUCAGCUUGGCUGUGAGACUCAGUGCAAGCCGUGUAGUGGGCUGUUAGAGUGGUUUGCUUGAUUCUGUUUCUUGUGUCAAACGUUUGUCAGUGUUGAUGAUGAAUAGUAGGGAAAAAUACUGAAUAAGCCCUAAGUGAUUAAUUAGAAUAUUAGUUUAGUAUUUCUGCUGCCAGACAGUCAUGCAGUCCCUGGCAUUACUGCUUAAGGUCUAAAAUGUUGAGAGAGGAAGAGGAAUUUCAAAUAUGUUUAUUCUUAUCCAGAUAAUCUCUGAAUUUAAACUCUAAUAAAGCUUUUCACCGGAAUGAGAUGUUAACUAGCCAAUACUUUAUUCACACUUCAGUUAAACAACGUUUACCUCGGUGAAAGGCACCCAAACUGUGCUACUCUGUGCUACCCUGUUUCUGUGGAAACUGUGUGUUGGAGUGGAAUAGGAAUAAUGGUGGAGAAAAGGAGAGCAGUAGCGUUUUGGCUGAAGUCCUGUUGGCCAGCCCCCGUUUCAGCUGGGAUAAGUCAGCCAAGCAAGGCCUCAGUGCUGGAGCCCCGACAGUUCUUUUUCCUCCUCCUCCUAACUUGUGCCGAGGGAGGAGUCUGCUUCACAGACACCAUUCAAAAAGUGCUUGCUAAAGCAAUUUAUCUGUAUUUUCCCCUGGUUUUUCAUGCAACAAGAAUUUUAGCCAGUCAGUAAUGUUAGUCAAUAGCUGCCUACACUGGUAGGGUAAGGUUUGUUCUGAAAAGAACUUCCAUUGACGCGUAUGUUACUCAGUCACUGCUCUUCUAAAAAGCACCACUGUAUUCUUGGAAAGAAACUCUCCCAAAACUGAAAAGACACAUUUUUCAUCAUUCAGGGGUUUCCAAAAUAUGCAUAUGUUUGAUGGAUUGCCAGGAAAGACAGACAGCCUUGACCAGUAAACUCAGCUCUGUAUUCUCUCUUCUCUGGUAGCUGUUUCACUGACAUUCAUGUUGUUUUCUCCUGGAAUAAGGUAUCUUUCUUAAAAAUAAAAUAUGAAUUAACAGAAAAAUAUAUUUUAUUGUUUUUUCUGUUGUUAUGAUUUCUGUUAAUCAGUGAUUGCCUGCUACCUGUGUGUGUGAGUCAGAGUGAAAAAUCUAACGUGGUGAAGUUGUGAUUGAUGUCUUAAUACUGUAGAAGUAUCUGGUAGGGGUGGGGGUCUAUUUCUUCCACAUACACACAAAAAAUGACUGGCUUCUGAUUGUAGUCUGAGGCUCUGGACUGGAGGACCAGGGCAUUUUGCUGCCUAGCCUCAGUAUACACACAUUGCUACAGAGGAUUGAAAGGCGUUGUGCAGCACUCAUGGUAACCAACAUUCUGUAAAGAAUUCUAAAUCACUGCAGGAGAGGAGACAACAGAAAAAGCAGUUUUCAAGAAUGGAGAGUAUGGGAGAAAAUCAAUUAAGGAAACAGCAUUAUCUUUUCAAAUUCAGGUGUAAGUGUGUGCAGACCCAAGAAUUUCAACAGUUUCUUACAGGUGGAAGCUAAAGGGAAGAGCCUAGAUCAUGGUGAUGUUGGCUGUACAUGUUCGUGCUUCUGUGUGGAAUCAGGGACACCUGCUUCUUGGUCUGCUGCUGCUUCAGCUUCUUGGUGAGACGUUAAAAUCUCUUCAAGUCUCUCUCUAGUCCCCUUUGUGUGCCAGAGUUGGCAGUAGAACAUGAGGAACUUUAACUGCAUCGGUUCAAGGAACCCUGUGGCCCUUUCCCAUUGUGUGCCUGUAGUGCAUUGUGCUAUACAUGAAAGAAGCAGGAAGGGAAUAGAGAGAAAAGCAGGCAGUUGGUAUCAGGCACUGGUGCUGCCUUCAGUCUUUUCUUUAGUAACGUUUCCAUAAACUACAGCUGAGUUGCAGUUCAACCGAACUUUUAAGUUCUGUUUGAUUUGUAACCCAUUCUACAUUUUUUAGAAUAAGUGUUCCUUGUUUCCACUUGGCAGAUCUGAUUGCCCCCCUCUUUAAGUUAUUCAGGCUUUAAGUCUGAAGCUUAAGAAAUAUCUGUUUGUUGAAGUGCUUAUUGAUGCUCACCCAUUUGUAAGGAAUGGCAAGUUCAGGCCACUCAAAGACAUUAUUGAUAAAGACAGGACACAAUACACUGAAACAGCACUCCAUUAACCCAAUUUACCUAGUGCAGAAAAUGAUCACAGUUAUAUCAAUAUAUGCCUAAAGACACAAAUUAGCUUUUUAUUCACUGUAAUCCAUAAAAGUAAUCAGGCACAAAACUGAAGGCACUAAUCAGCAGCUACUUGUCUUCACACUCCUCUUUACACAUCUGGAUCUGCCCUUUACAAAUUGAGGAAAUGUGAAAAACUCUCUCCAGAGCAGUGUGGAAGUCCCAUUCCUUCAAAGCUGUGAUACCCAUAAGAAGGAAAUGAUCUUCACGGCAACACUGUGGCU
rnacentral:lncRNA from 1 species